GGCGGUUUGGCCGAGUGGUCUAAGGCGAUUGACUAGAAAUCAAUUCUCUUCGGAGGCGGCGGUUCGAAUCCGCCAGCCGUCG
rfam:Penicillium steckii strain IBT 24891 PENSTE_contig013, whole genome shotgun sequence.